CUGGGUGCGGUCAGAGUGACUGAAGGAAAGGCGGUGUUUUCCAGAAGUCCUUUAAAUGAUCCAUAAAAUUAAAUUUUACUAAACGUACUUUUUAAAAAUUAAUAGACUUUCUUUUCUAAAGGAGUUUUAAGUUUACAGAAAAACAGCCCAGAAUACAGAGAAUUUCCAUCGACUUCCGACCUUCACCUGCUCCAUGCUCCAUUCCCUCCAUAAUUAACAUGUCCCCCCAACACACACAUAUACACACACCCUCCACCCCCCACACACCACACAUAUAUACACACUCCAUACACACCCCACCCCCACACACAUAUACAGAUGCCACACCCCCCACACACACAUAUGCACAUGCCAUACACACCCCACACAUAUACACACUCCAUACACAUCCCACCCCACACGCCAUACACACCCUACCCCACACACACAUAUACACAUGUCAUACACACCCCACCCCACAAACCAUACACACACCAGCCCAAACACACCACCUGCAUAUACACAGACACCACCUCAUACACACCACCUCACACACACCACACAUGUCUACACACACCAUACACACACCACCACCCCCCAAACCACACACAUAUAUACUAUAUACACACACUAUACACAUAUAUACACAUACCAUACACACACCAACCCACACACACCACAUCGGUAUCUACACACACCAUACACACACCACCUCACACACCACAUGUCUACACACACCACACACACCACCACCCCCCAAACCACAUAUAUACUAUAUAUACACACACCACCUCACACACACCACACAUAUAUACACAUGCCAUACACACCACCCCACACACACCACAAACAUAUCUAUACACACCAUACACACACCAUCCCACACACACCACAUAUAUCUACACAUGCCAUACACAUACCACCUCACACACACCAUACAUGUCUACACACACCACACAUACAGCACCACCCUUCUACCCACACACAUAUAUACACACACACCAUACACACAUCACCCCCCACACAUCACACAUAUAUACACACAUCAUACACACCCCACCCCCCACAUACCACACACACAUAUAUACACACACCACACACAUAUGUACACACACCAUCACCCCCACACACACCACCCCACAAACCACACACAUACACACACUACACACCAAUAAUAAUAAUCUAUACACACCACAGACACAUAUACACAAAUUACACAUGCCCCCUAUACAUCCACAUACCACCCCCCACACCACCACCCCCCUACACAUGUGCACACCCACACCCCUCCCC
rnacentral:lncRNA from 1 species